rnacentral:rRNA from 1 species
UACAGAGGGUGCAAGCGUUGUUCGGAAUUAUUGGGCGUAAAGCGCGUGUAGGCGGCUUUGCAAGUCGGGUGUGAAAUCCCUCAGCUCAACUGAGGAAGUGCGCCCGAAACUGCAUAGCUCGAGUACGGAAGAGGAGGGCGGAAUUCCCGGUGUAGCGGUGAAAUGCGUAGAUAUCGGGAGGAACAUCAGUGGCGAAGGCGGCCCUCUGGUCCAGUACUGACACUCAAGUGCGAAAGCGUGGGGAGCAAACAGG